CCGUGCAGCCGGGGAGAUAGCGGUGCCCUGUACCUGCAAUCCGCUACAGCAGGGGUGAUGCCAAACCGAGGGAUUUCUUUCUGUGGAGCUGCCCUCUAUAAGUGGCGUUGACGUCUGGGUCUUACGCAACAGGAAUCUGUGAACCGUGUCAGGGCAGGAAUGCAGCAGCACUAAGCAGAACCUUCUGUGUGCCGU
rnacentral:SRP_RNA from 1 species